rnacentral:rRNA from 1 species
CAUGCAAGUCGAGCGUGAUUCUUAAACUUCGGUUUUUGAUGAAAGCGGCGAACGGGUGAGUAACGCGUGGGAACGUGCCCUUUAGUAUGGAAUAGCCCGGGGAAACCUGGAAUAAUACCAUAUACGCCCUUCGGGGGAAAGAUUUAUCGCUAAAGGAUCGGCCCGCGUCUGAUUAGGUAGUUGGUAAGGUAAAGGCUUACCAAGCCUACGAUCAGUAGCUGGUUUGAGAGGAUGAUCAGCCACACUGGGACUGAGACACGGCCCAGACUCCUACGGGAGGCAGCAGUGGGGAAUCUUGGACAAUGGGGGCAACCCUGAUCCAGCCAUGCCGCGUGAGUGAAGAAGGCCUUCGGGUUGUAAAACUCUUCCAACGGUGAAGAUAAUGACGGUAACCGUAGAAGAAGCCCCGGCUAACUCCGUGCCAGCAGCCGCGGUAAUACGGAGGGGGCUAGCGUUGUUCGGAAUUACUGGGCGUAAAGAGCAUGUAGGCGGACUGGUCAGUCAGUGGUGAAAUCCCGGAGCUCAACUCCGGAACUGCCUUUGAUACUGCCGGUCUAGAGUUUUGGAGAGGUGAGUGGAAUUCCGAGUGUAGAGGUGAAAUUCGUAGAUAUUCGGAGGAACACCAGCGGCGAAGGCGGCUCACUGGCCAAAAACUGACG